AGUACGUGAAACUGCUUAGAGGUUAAGCCCGAUGAACCUGAAUAUCCAUUAUGGAAAAUUCAAUAUUAAGAAUAUAAUAUAAAUAAUAUUAUAAAAAUAGUAUGCAAUUUUUCCAUAUAAGGACAUUGUAAUCUGUUAAUGUUAUAAAUAUUUAUCAAAAGAUCUAAUACUUAAGUUUAUUUAAAUUGUUUAUUUUCGGAUAUUCAACAUAAAAUAAAUGUGUUAGAUUGGAUAAAUCAUUGACAGAUCGAAUUAUAUAUUGUGCAUAAAUUCUUCGGAAUUUUUCAGUGGUAAAUAGAUCUAUUGAUUUGUUUAUUGAUUGCAUGCAUAAUUAUGAUUGACAAUGCGAUAGAUUCAGGAUACCUUCGGGACCCGUCUUGAAACACGGACCAAGGAGUCUAACAUAUGUGCAAGUCAUUGGGUAUUUUUAAUAAAACCCAAUGGCAUAAUUAACUUAACUGUUAUUUAUAAUGAGAUUAAUUUAUAUUUUGUUAUGAUUUAUUUAUUCAAUCUCGGGGCGUUCUAUACAGUUAUGCAUAAUGAUAUUUAUAUUAUUUAUGCCUCUAACUAGAGCGUACCUUGAGC
rnacentral:rRNA from 1 species